rnacentral:rRNA from 1 species
UACAGAGGUCUCAAGCGUUGUUCGGAUUCAUUGGGCGUAAAGGGUGCGUAGGUGGCGCCGUAAGUCGGGUGUGAAAUUUCGGAGCUUAACUCCGAAACUGCAUUCGAUACUGCGGUGCUUGAGGACUGGAGAGGAGACUGGAAUUCAUGGUGUUGCAGUGAAAUGCGUAGAGAUCAUGAGGAAGACCAGUGGCGAAGGCGGGUCUCUGGACAGUUCCUGACACUGAGGCACGAAGGCCAGGGGAGCAAACGGG